UCGAGCGAGUCUGCCUUGAAGAUCGGAGUGCUUGCACUCUGUGAAACAAGAUACAGGCUAGCGGCGGACGGGUGAGUAACACGUGGGUAACCUGCCCAAGAGAUCGGGAUAACACCUGGAAACAGAUGCUAAUACCGGAUAACAACAGAUGAUGCCUAUCAACUGUUUAAAAGAUGGUUCUGCUAUCACUCUUGGAUGGACCUGCGGUGCAUUAGCUAGUUGGUAGGGUAACGGCCUACCAAGGCGAUGAUGCAUAGCCGAGUUGAGAGACUGAUCGGCCACAUUGGGACUGAGACACGGCCCAAACUCCUACGGGAGGCAGCAGUAGGGGAUCUUCCACAAUGGACGCAAGUCUGAUGGAGCAACGCCGCGUGAGUGAAGAAGGGUUUCGGCUCGUAAAGCUCUGUUGUUGGUGAAGAAGGACGGGGGUAGUAACUGACCUUUGUUUGACGGUAAUCAAUUAGAAAGUCACGGCUAACUACGUGCCAGCAGCCGCGGUAAUACGUAGGUGGCAAGCGUUGUCCGGAUUUAUUGGGCGUAAAGCGAGUGCAGGCGGUUCGAUAAGUCUGAUGUGAAAGCCUUCGGCUCAACCGGAGAAUUGCAUCAGAAACUGUCGAGCUUGAGUACAGAAGAGGAGAGUGGAACUCCAUGUGUAGCGGUGAAAUGCGUAGAUAUAUGGAAGAACACCGGUGGCGAAGGCGGCUCUCUGGUCUGUUACUGACGCUGAGGCUCGAAAGCAUGGGUAGCGAACAGGAUUAGAUACCCUGGUAGUCCAUGCCGUANACGAUGAGUGCUAAGUGUUGGGAGGUUUCCGCCUCUCAGUGCUGCAGCUAACGCAUUAAGCACUCCGCCUGGGGAGUACGACCGCAAGGUUGAAACUCAAAGGAAUUGACGGGGGCC
rnacentral:rRNA from 1 species